AAAAAAAUAAAUGAUUGACACUUCCUUUUAACCACGGGAAAUCAUAAAAUAAACAUUGAUUUAUCAUUUGAUGUUUUCUGUUAAAGCUUAAUUUUAGCGCAUCGCUUUUCAAGUUUUCUAAGUAGUAACUGGUCGCAGACCAACAAUAAUAUGACCCUGACGCGUAUGCAUUUAUCGUUAUUGUUCAUGUUCGAAAGCUUGAUAUAGUAUAAACGACUUAGGUGGAUCAAUGUGUAUUACGUACUUCAAAUACGUAUGAAGAUAUCUAUGUACUACGUAGAUACUUCAAACGACUAAUGAGGAUCUGUAUGUUCUAGGUAUUUCAAAUACUUAUGAGGAUUUCUAUGUACUAGGUACUUCAAACGACUUAUGAGGAUCUCUAUGUACUAGGUACUUCAAACGACUAAUGAGGAUCUCCAUAUACUAGGUAUUUCAAACGACUAAUGAGUAUCUCUAUAUUCUAGGUACUUCAAACGACUAAUGAGGAUCUCUAUAUUCUAGGUACUUCAAACUUCCUGCCGCGAGACAUUGGCUUCCGUACCGAGCAGUAUUGUGUGUCAUUGCAUUUGCUGGAUAGUCCCUGCGAUCGUGUGCUUUGUUGGUUUGCACUAUGAUGUGUAUGGAGAGACAACGAAGCUCUACAUGCCCCUGGGAUGUUGGAUUGACACGGAUGACACGCGGUUGAGUCACAAACAACAGGUGCUAUGGAUGAUGCUGACGAAGAUCGGAUGGGAAUGCGUCACUUUUCUUGUCGUUGCGGAGGUUGCGGUCUAUACGGCGUGGAGGCUCGUAGUUUUGCCGCUGUUGCACCCGAGAAAUAAUCACCCCAACUGUUCCGCCGUGUUCCGGGAUACUCGCUUGCAGAUACAUAACGGUCUCAGGCACGCGGACCGGAACUUCCUUUGGGCGUGGCUAAUAUUCUACGGCCUACGUGUAUGGGGCGUUGUGCGCUUCUUUCUUCUCUGGGCUUCUGAGUCCCAAAAUGUAUGUGAAGAAGCGGAUAUACUGGUGAUUGUUCAGGCCAUCUGCGAUCCCGGACAGGCGUUUAUCGACUUCCUCUUGUUUUGUGUUUUUGACAAAGACGUGCGCGGACAUUUCUGUGGCCACAAUUCGCGACGUCAAAGAGUAAACGAGCUCGCCGAGACGCACCCGAUACUGAGAAGAUCCACAUCAUUACCUCAAUCAUUUCUAUAGCUAUUUUAAUUGGAUUUUCUCUAUUACUUCUAGUUCUUCAUAUUCUCUUAUUCCUCCUUCUCAUUCUUCUUCUUCUUUCACUUCAUUGCCGUUGUGUUUCUUGAUCGUUUUUUUGCUUCAUAAUUUUCAUUAACUUUGUCUUCUUCUUUUUCUUCUGCUUCUUCUUCUUCAUCUUCCUCUUCCCAUGCAUAUCUUGCGUAUAUUAAAGGCUAAAUAUAUCAUUGUUCUUUAUGAUCAUGAACGCUUUAAUUGACUACAGUAAUAAAAUUAAUUUUGAUAAUCGAUUAAAACAAACUUUUUGAAACAGGUUAAGUGGUAUUUAGUUUAAAAUGGAUUUAAUGCAUUAGCUAAUUGUGUGUGUAUGAUAACAUAUAAUAUGAAAGCUUCUUUGUAGCGUAUUCAAAACUUUGGUGUUGUUUAUAAUACUUGAAAAAGAUAACAACGUACGGUUUAUAUGACCUUGGGCCAGUUGUGUAUGCACAUAUAAUCUAAUAAUAUGUGAGAAAGGUAUGUAAAACGAAAGAAGAAGCAACUUUGAUUCGGUAUGUAACAAUCUAUCAUUAUGUAGCAAUCAAUACCAACUUUCAUACAAUCGCCCAUAUCGCCGCUAUCAUGUACUAUAUCUAUAUAUAAUAAUGUCUAGAUAAACUGCACAGAUGGAGUAAACAUUUUGUGAGCAUGUAGUUUGCAAUAUAAGCAUGGGUUUAUAUAUUUUGCACACAAUAGUUAACGAUAAAUGAAUUGUACGUUGACGACCCACUAUAUUAAGAAUAUAAACAUGUACACUUGCUGAAAGUACAUAACUUGGUGUGAAAAUCGAAGCGCCAUAUUACUUUUACGUUGUACACCAAUCGUUGUUAUACACAAUUGUUCCAUUUUCGGAAGAUUAAUUAAAGGUAUGUCCAAUAUGGACGAUCAGUCGCCUUGCACGACUUCUGGGAAGCCGUGUUCUUUCCAAUUAUUGUUUACGUUCGUUUUAAAUAGCCAUGUUAGACUGGUAUUUUUCAUGCGUUUUCGAGAAAAGAUGUAACUAACGACUCCUGAUACACAGCGAGCUUUAGAUGCUGUGUCGCUUGAACUGUUUAUACGUCAUCUGUACUCCGAUGAGCUAGAAUAUGCUGAUUGGUUACUGCAAACGUUUUCAACUAAAACAUGUAUUCCGACGUAAAAUUAAAAGCCCACCUGCCUGAGAGAGAGUCUACAGAACAAAGUUUCCGGCAAGGCUGAGUCCUGCCUAAUUAAAUUCGAAUAUAUUGAAGGUGUGACGCAUGUGAUGACAAGUAUAUAAGGACAAAUCAGCGAGGGAAUAUCGAAAACUACAGAAACAUACUAGAUUGUCAUCUGAGUUAUCCCGCCUUUAAUCAGGGAGCUUCUCUAACAGCUAACCGGCAUUGAUUCAAGUAGACGAUACUAAACAACAAACAACAAUGCCUUCUUCAUCCGUGAAUAACACAUAUGUAAUACCUGAUUACGUCAUCAUCUGCACGUUCAUUAGUUGUGGACUUUCUCUCAUUGGCUGCAUGGGUUUGCUCGCGACUUACAUCAGAGUCAGUAUCAUACGUAACUACAUCAGACAGCUACUGAUGUUCCUCACACUGGCAAACUUCAUUCACGUCUGCGCGGACAUGACAGGCAUGUUCAUGUACGUGUCUAUGAGAUCAUACAACGACAGUACCAACCGAUAUUACGCGCGUUUUGACGAAAUGUGCGUCACGCAAGGAUUAAUGUCAUCCUAUGCGCCGAUGGUGGAGUUUCUAUGGUCCACUGUGAUUGCUGUGUAUUUCCAUGCAAACGUACUCCAUACAUCUGUGCACCAACAAUUUGCGACCACACGCAGCAAGCUUAUCAGCCAUUGCUGCUGUUGGAUUAUUCCAGCGAUCGUAUGUGCCUUUGGAUUGUACUAUGGUGUGUUUGGAGAGACACGAGACCUGUUCAUAUCGCCAGGCUGCUGGAUUGACACUGACUACCUGAGUAAAAACGAUCAGAUUUUGUGGAUGAUGCUGACCAAGAUUGGCUUGGAAUGCGUCACCUUUCUUGUUGUGACUGAGGUGGCGGUGUUUACCGGGUGGAAACUGCUUAUCCUUCCGAUAUGGAAACCAGGGACAAGGCCAUCUCAAGUGUGGGGACGUGUUUAAGAACACGUCAGUGCAGGCGCCCAAUCGCCUAAGGUGCGCUGACCGGAAAUUUUUGUGGUCAUGGCUCAUUUUCUACGGCCUGCGAGUCUGGGGUGUUGUACGCUUCUUCAAGCACUUAACACAGGUCGAACAUAACACAGCGACUAACUUGGCAGAGAAAACUUUGAUGGUACUGCAGGCCCUGUGUGACACGGGACAGGCGUUCGUGAACUUCAUGCUUUUCUGCGUCUUCAACACGGACGUUAGGGCGCACUUUUCACGCAAGAGCGAACGACGCAUUAUGGAGGUUGUGGAGGAGGAGGAGGACGGGGAAAACGAAGAGAGAGUAGGAAUGCUGCAGAAAUAAAGAACUGGUGGCAGAUACAUAUUAAUAAACGUUUUUGCUUACUGCAUUGUGUUCCUUAACCGUAAUCAAAUAAGUUUGUUCGGGCAUCCCAAAACUCCAUGGGCCCACCCGCUGUUCGCUCCCCCCCCCCCCCCCGGCGAUUCUCCGACUUUCAAGAAUUUGUAUGACGGUACAAUUUCUUGAAGCGUGUUAAUCAAACAGGAAUCAUUGACAAGUUAACGCAAUUUCGUCACAUUCUUUUUAAUUUAACACAUGUCAACUUAUUACACACAAAAAGAUCACUUACUUUGUGAGUCAUACCGUGUAGUUCCUUAUCAAAACAAGAAAUGUGUUUGUCGGAAACACUAUGCGGCAAUUUGAAAUUAUUUUUUUUACCUUUGACCUUGAAGGAUGACCUUGACCUUUCACCACUCAAAAUGUGCAGCUCCAUGAGAUACGCAUGCAUGCCAAAUAUGAAGUUGGCUAUCUUCAAUAUUGCAAAAGUUAUGGCAAAAUGUUAAAAUUGGAGCAAACAAACAAACACACAAACAAACCAACCAACCAACAGACAGGGCAAAAACAAUAUGUCCCCCACUAUAGUGGUGAGGACAUAAAACGUUUAAUGGCGCCCGCUUGAACAGUCUUAAAUUAUAACAUACGUUUUAUACAUUUGCAGAUAUAAUUCCCUUGUAUGGAUUUAAAAAUAUAAUGAACUAUGUCAUUUUAAACAUGUCUGCACCCCCCCCCCCUUCCCUCCCAAACGGUCUUCCUAGUAUGUGCGUACAACUACAGUUGAAAUCAAAAAACAAUAUGGGUUCUAAUUCGCAUCAAAAUAUAUGUAAUUCCCUGGGUGUAGAGGAAUGACGAACGUUUUUACAUCGAAAGGUCCAUGGACCGAGUCUCGUCGUUGUUUAGUGUGUUUUUAAUUAUAACAAUAAAUGAACUAUACAAAAGAUAGUGAGAACAAUACCAUUAAUUUCCAAAGUCAAUAUUUCCCCUUUAUUAUAAACGAUAGAAAACAGUAUUUUUAAUUCCAAGAUAAAGGUGAUUAAUUCGUGCCUGGCCUGUAAAUGUGCCAUGUUAGCAAAUUGUUCUAUACGGGUUAAUUAUGAACUAUCCCUCAUUUCACAUAUUUAAACAUACGUUUGCAUAACUUAUCUAUUCUAUAUGGAAAUGUAUUUCUGAAUACUUAUGCUUAUGUGAGCAAUAUGAACUGAUCAGCAUGAAAUGUUUCGUACUUUAUUGCGUUCGUUACCAAAUGAGCGUUUUUCUUAGAAAACUGGGCAUAAUACAUGUGCGCAAAGUGUCGUCCCAGAUUAGCCCAUGCAGUCCGCACAGGCUAAUCAGGGACGGCACUUUCCGCCUAAACUUGAUUUUCGGUAAGGAGGGAUUUCCUUGAAACUAAAAAUACCAUAAAAGCGGAAAGUGUCGUCCCUGGGACGACACUUUACGCACAUGUAUUAUGCCCAGUUUUCUCAGAACGCGGUUCAAAUGAUAUACAACAUGCUAGUCAUACUUGGAAGCAGUGUAUGCUAGUUCUUGAUAAAACGAUAUGUGUCACUAAGUUAAAGGCUAAUAAAAGGUGACGAUCCGUAAUUAUUACCGAUUUUUAAAUAUUUUUUGCCAAUUUUAUUUAUAAAGGUUAUAAAAAAACAAUAAAUAUGCUAUUGGACAUUACCAUUAAAAAAUAAGCAAUAAAACUUGUUUUGAGUUUUAAAAAUGUGUGGAAGCAAAAGAUUAAGGGUUGGAGAUUUAAAAUGUCUGAGAGUCCUUUUUUUCUUAAACUUCGACUUUGGAUGGAGAAUACCAUGGCUAUAGGAAAUAUGCGAAAAAUAACAGAAAAUAGAAAUGUAGUAUUAUAUUUCUAAAACCAUAAGCAUACAAACAACCCGUAUAACAUUUAGAUUGGCUUAAAAACGCUGUGCAAAACGGUAAUAUUUAACCCAUUUAUG